rnacentral:rRNA from 1 species
GAUGAACGCUGGCGGCGUGCCUAAUACAUGCAAGUCGAGCGAACAGACGAGGAGCUUGCUCCUCUGAUGUUAGCGGCGGACGGGUGAGUAACACGUGGAUAACCUACCUAUAAGACUGGGAUAACUUCGGGAAACCGGAGCUAAUACCGGAUAACAUUUUGAACCGCAUGGUUCAACAGUGAAAGACGGUUUUGCUGUCACUUAUAGAUGGAUCCGCGUCGCAUUAGCUAGUUGGUAAGGUAACGGCUUACCAAGGCAACGAUGCGUAGCCGACCUGAGAGGGUGAUCGGCCACACUGGAACUGAGACACGGUCCAGACUCCUACGGGAGGCAGCAGUAGGGAAUCUUCCGCAAUGGGCGAAAGCCUGACGGAGCAACGCCGCGUGAGUGAUGAAGGUCUUCGGAUCGUAAAACUCUGUUAUUAGGGAAGAACAAAUGUGUAAGUAACUAUGCACAUCUUGACGGUACCUAAUCAGAAAGCCACGGCUAACUACGUG